rnacentral:rRNA from 1 species
UACGUAGGGGGCGAGCGUUGUCCGGAUUUAUUGGGCGUAAAGAGCUCGUAGGCGGCUUGGCAAGUCGGGUGUGAAACCUCCAGGCUCAACCUGGAGACGCCACUCGAUACUGCUAUGGCUAGAGUCCGGUAGGGGACCACGGAAUUCCUGGUGUAGCGGUGAAAUGCGCAGAUAUCAGGAGGAACACCGAUGGCGAAGGCAGAUCUCUGGGCCGUAACUGACGCUGAGGAGCGAAAGCAUGGGGAGCGAACAGG